AUAAAUAAAUCCACCCAAGUUUCCCCCUAACAGUCCCGUGGUUUCGUGUUUCACAUCAGGAUACCUGAUCCACUUGGAGUUUACCCUGGUGAACAGCAAGAAAUAGGGUUUUCUAGGCAAGGCAACCCGGUGGAACAGUAGGGAAAAUGAAUGUCAAUCCUUAUGGUGCAGGCCACUAGGUGGCGGUCCUCAAGGUUUGUUUCUUGCAAGAAACACUAAGUCUUCAAAAGAUAAAGGAAAUGACUCAAGAUAUAACCAACCAAGAAGACAUCCCUCUGGGAAGUUUCCCUCAUCGUCACAACCUUCGACUCUGGAGGCAAGCUCCGUGUUUCUGCUCCCCACCUCGGAAAGUAUUUGCCCCCCAUAUUUACAUUCUCACUGGAAGGUCACAGUGUGUGUAGAGACUGCCUUUGCAGGGAUGUCACCAGGCCCAGGGGUAAAUAUGGGCCAGAGAAGGAAAGGGGUGGCAGUGCUGACUGCCCUGCCCUGAGAUUCUGCAGCAGCUUGCAGCAGGAAAUGACAAGACGCAGGUUUCCAUUCCAGGGCAGUCACCAGCUGGCCCAGUUACUGCAGGCCCCUACUUGGCCUUCUGCCCUUUAGUUUCCCCACAUAUAAACGUCAGCCCUGCCGGUGUGCAAAGCAUGCCAACGGGGUAGGAUGGUCCAUGGGUUGCAAAGUAAGAGCUACUGUGUAGACAUGUUUUCCCACCAUUACCUUUCAUUUUGUCCUGUGUAGGUGUGUCUCUCUUGAAUAUGAAAAGGUCAUAAGAACUGGUGGUUGAAGGCUGAUUCCGGUUUAUAAGGCUGGACCCCUCCCAUCUGAAUGGAAACACCUUUGAUCCACGAUACUAAUCCAGCGUCCACAGCAAGAUCUCAAGCAAAGUAAGCGCCCGUUGCAUGCUUAUGAAUGGAUGGAUGCACAUAGCACAGUCAGACUGUAUGUCCCUGUUAGAAAUGCCACAUCAGGGUCUCUGACUCCUCACUCCCUUGGUGCCUGUGUUCUCGAAUGUGCUCAACUUGGGGCUGCUGACUGGAUAUCACACAACACGUCCUUCCCUGUAGCCAGACCUUCCGAACACUCAGCUUACCUUGUUCCAGCCUGCAGAGACCCUCCCUCACACUCACCUCCCCUUCCGGGGACAGACCCUCGUGCAUCUUCUACUGCUGCUCUUGGAAUCAACGUCUUUCUCACGGCCACCCGAGGCUUGGCUUUCCUAAUCAGCUGACCAUGCUCAUCUCUGCACUGGACUCAAGUAUAGAGGUGUGAGAGGCUCCUGGGUAACCUCGAGGAGACAUGAGAACUCCCCCUGAAGCUGGUGGACCUUUGAAAGAAACAGAGCAAUGCUGGUGUGAGGAGGAGAUGGACCACAGCUGGGGAGAACUUUCUAAAGAUGGUGGGUCACAAACAGCCUCUCAAGAACACAACUGGGACUCUGGCUGGUCUUAAGGAGCCUUGGGUAAAACACAAUAUGGCUGUCUAAGCCCAACAAGCCAAGUCCUUGGAAGAAUUGGAAUGAUGCUACUUGGAGGUGACAAGGCAGCCUUAUCCCUUAUAAUGCAACCAUGUAUUUGAUAAUUGUCCAAACUUGAUCUGGUGGGCUGUGUUGUAUCUUCACGGGUAAGUAAGAUCUUGACUUUGUCAUAGAGUAAAAUACUGCCCACAGUUGAUUAUGUGACUUUUUUUUCCAUCAAAAGCCAUUGCCAAAUGGUUGGGCAGGGGUUCACAAGGAAUUGUUCACGCCUCAGAACUGUCUCAUCCGUCCAGGUACCUAGCUGUAUGGGUUGUUCUUAGCAAAGAAACACAUGGGGCGCAGUAUGUCACUCAGUAUCAUUAAAAAUGUUUAAAUGUG